ACAAAUCAUGAUGCUGCUUAGUUUUGGUGAUCCGAUGAGAAUUAGCAUAUUAAGCCAUAACAUAGCAGCUAUCUCACAGCUGAAUAGCGCCAUCUGCUAUGUUGUAGCUUAUCACUCCAAACUAUUACCAAGACACGAGCUGGGCUAUUCGUAAUAGCAAUUCAUUGAAAGCGCUUAGCAAUAAGAGAGACCAGGGAGGUAUUUUAGCUCUCACACUAUGUUAAGCAAGUUUUCUAACCAAAGCCAAGUGUUGGCUGCCCCUUCGUCAAUUGCCGACUCCUGUGGCCUCAUCUCUGGCAGGCCACCUGGCUGAUGCCGCACGGUACAUGUUCAUCUCUAAUACUUUUGUCUUUAUUGUCAUAGUACAGUUGCAUUUCGCAGAGAGAAAUGUGUUUUGAAGUUUUUUGCUCUCCCCAGUCUGCAAAGUGCUCUUGCAUAGGCACUUUUUGAGAGUCUGGACAAGCAAGAGUGUGUAUAUUCUUUUGACAUAUUAUGUACACUUGGUUGAUUGUGAUAUAUUCACAGCCACUGCUGCCAGAUCAUCUUAUAAGUUUGUGUAUUAAUGGUUGUCUUGGUCUAGUUAUUCUAUUACAGUUUAUAUAGCAUCAUGAUGGAAUAGUGUCACUCUGCCUCAAAUAUUUUGCAUUAUGGCUACCUUUAUUCCAGUAGAACCCUCAAACAAGUGAACACCUUAAUUCACUUCAUUUCAAAAUAUGUCCACUGUAAAAGCUGCAGCAGUUCCACGACAUAUAACAUUUGUAUGGGAGGAUGCCCAGCAUACAUACUGCAGCAACUAAUGAUUAUUUAUACAUUUUAUAGUGUCACAAAGCAACACCGGGGCUAUGAGAGAUGCCUUGGUGGAGGGCUUAGAAAUAAUUUUGAGCUACCUGGAGUACUUUGACAUGCACCUAAAUAUAGUUACACAUGCAUUUUAGCAUUUCAACUCCAUCUGAAUGCAGUUGGGAGAGCCUGGAGUUGAAAGCACAACCUCAGGCUCAGCAGCACAACACAAUAGCCGCUCAGCCGACGUGGCAAGUCGCAGCAGAUAUGCCUUCAGGUGGACAAAAAAGCAGCAGGACAACUUUAUGGAAUUCAAGUUGCUCACAGCAGAAAUUGUGAACUCUGAUGAAAUGUUUUCUACUGAUUUGUGAUUCCUGCAAUAAUGCUUGAUGACGCUGUGGGACCUUAUUGAAUAAAGAAUCGGAGUGCCUCAUAAUCAGAUAGUGGUUUUGGUACAUAGAA